UAAAUUGAAACCAAGUGUAUAGGUGCUUAGCUGUUAACUAAGAUUUAGUGGGAUAGAUACCCGCCAGUUUAG
rnacentral:tRNA from 1 species